rnacentral:rRNA from 1 species
UAAUACGAGGGGGGCGAGCGUUGUUCGGAAUUAUUGGGCGUAAAGGGUGCGUAGGCGGUUUGGUAAGUCUUGUGUGAAAUCUAUGGGCUCAACUCAUAGUCUGCACGAGAAACUGCCGGGCUUGAGUGUGGGAGAGGUGAGUGGAAUUUCCGGUGUAGCGGUGAAAUGCGUAGAUAUCGGAAGGAACACCUGUGGCGAAAGCGGCUCACUGGACCACAACUGACGCUGAUGCACGAAAGCUAGGGGAGCAAACAGGAUUAGAUACCCUGGUAGUCCUAGCCCUAAACGAUGACUGCUUGGUGUGACGGGUACCCAAUCCCGCCGUGCCGUAGCUAACGCGUUAAGCAGUCCGCCUGGGGAGUACGGUCGCAAGGCUG